ACAUAGGUGCCAUUAGGCACCACAUCAGCAUAAUGCCAAUAAACGU
rfam:Nelumbo nucifera unplaced genomic scaffold scaffold00221, whole genome shotgun sequence